GCCAAACAGCUAGCCCAACCAAAUAAAACCAAAAAAUCACCAUAAAUACCCCCAGACACACAACCCAACUGAUUAAUCAAAUCAUUUUUCCACCUAAGUACGGGAGACGGAAAAGGAACCACGGAGCUAUAGACAAAGUACCGCAAGGGAACGCUGAAAGAGAAAUGAAACAAUCCAGUAAAGCAUAAAAAAGCAGAGACCAAUACUCGUACCUUUUGCAUCAUGAUUUAGCCAGAAAGCCCAAGCAAAGAGCACUUUAGUUUGACCCCCCGAAACUAAGUGAGCUACUUCAAGACAGCCUAUUUUAGGGCCAACCCGUCUCUGUGGCAAAAGAGUGGGAAGAACUUUGAGUAGAGGUGACAGACCUACCGAACUUAGUUAUAGCUGGUUGCCUAGAAAUUGAAUAUUAGUUCAGCCUUUUGAUUCUUUUACUCAUAUUACCCUUAACCCAUUUGACAUCAGAAGAAUCAAAAGAGUUAGUCAAAGGGGGUACAGCCCCUUUGAACAAAGAUACAACUUUUUUAGGUGGGUAAAGAUCAAAUUAAAAAAGGACAGACGUCUUAGUGGGCCUAAAAGCAGCCACCCAAAAAGAAAGCGUUAAAGCUCAGACGUACCCCAUCUCCUACAAUCUUGAUACCUCAAUCUUAACCCCCUUAUACUACUAGGCUGUUUCAUGCAAACAUGAAAGCACUAAUGCUAAUAUGAGUAAUAAGAGAGAACCAUCUCUCUCCUCGCACGCAUGUACAUCGGAACGGACCCCCCACCGAAUAUUACCGGCCCCAAGCAAAGAGGGUAAUGAUUAACAAAUAAAUACCUAGAAAAACCCCCACAAAUCAACCGUUAAGCCCACACUGGCGUGCCAACAAGGAAAGACCUAAAGAAAAAGAAGGAACUCGGCAAACACACUAAGCCUCGCCUGUUUUCCAAAAACAUCGCCUCUUGUAAACUAAAAAUAAGAGGUCCCGCCUGCCCAGUGACAAUUAGUUAAACGGCCGCGGUAUUUUGACCGUGCAAAGGUAGCGCAAUCACUUGUCUUUUAAAUGAAGACCCGUAUGAAUGGCACAACGAGGGCCUAACUGUCUCCUUUUUCAAGUCAAUGAAAUUGAUCUUCCCGUGCAGAAGCGGGAAUAAAACCAUAAGACGAGAAGACCCUAUGGAGCUUUAGACGCCAGGACAGACCUUGUUAAACACCCCAGACAAAGGACCAAACCCAGAGGACCCUGCCCACAUGUCUUUGGUUGGGGCGACCGCGGGGAAUACAAAACCCCCAUGUGGAACAGGAGGACACCUCCUACAACCAAGAGCCACAGCUCUAAGCAAUAGAAUUUCUAACCUAAAGAUCCGGCAAAGCCGAUCAACGAACCGAGUUACCCUAGGGAUAACAGCGCAAUCCCCUUCUAGAGUCCAUAUCGACAAGAGGGUUUACGACCUCGAUGUUGGAUCAGGACAUCCUAAUGGUGCAGCCGCUAUUAAGGGUUCGUUUGUUCAACGAUUAAAGUCCUACGUGAUCUGAGUUCAGACCGGAGUAAUCCAGGUCAGUUUCUAUCUAUGAAUUGUUUUUUUCUAGUACGAAAGGACCGAAAAAAAGAGGCCCAUGCUGUAAGCACGCCUCUCCCCCACCUAAUGAAAAUAACUAAAUUAGGCAAUAGGGCAUGCCCCUAUGCCUAAGAUAAUGGCAA
rnacentral:rRNA from 1 species